UAGCGAAAUUCCUUGUCGGGUAAGUUCCGACCCGCACGAAAGGCGUAAUGAUUUGAGCGCUGUCUCGACAAUGCAUCCGGUGAAAUUGAAGUACCAGUGAAGAUGCUGGUUACCUGCGCCAGGACGGAAAGACCCCAUGGAGCUUUACUCCAGUUUGGUACUGGGAUCCGGUACUGCAUGUACAGGAUAGGUGGGAGGCUAUGAAAUGGUAACGCCAGUUGCCAUGGAGCCGCUGUUGGGAUACCACCCUUGCAGUAUUGGGUUUCUAACCAGCCGCCGUGACCCGGCGGUGGGACAAUGCCAGACGGGGAGUUUGACUGGGGCGGUCGCCUCCGAAAGGGUAUCGGAGGCGCCCAAAGGUUCCCUCAGAAUGGACGGAAACCAUUCGAAGAGUGCAAAGGCAGAAGGGAGCUUGACUGCGACACCGACGGGUGGAGCAGGUACGAAAGUAGGACUUAGUGAUCCGGUGGUAUAAAGUGGGAUUGCCAUCGCUCAACGGAUAAAAGCUACCCUGGGGAUAACAGGCUUAUCACUCCCAAGAGUUCACAUCGACGGAGUGGUUUGGCACCUCGAUGUCGGCUCAUCGCAUCCUGGGGCUGUAGUAGGUCCCAAGGGUUGGGCUGUUCGCCCAUUAAAGCGGUACGCGAGCUGGGUUCAGAACGUCGUGAGACAGUUCGGUCCCUAUCCGGCGUGGGCGUAGGAUAUCUGAGAGGAGCUGUCCUUAGUACGAGAGGACCGGGAUGGACGGACCGCUGGUGGACCGGUUGGCUUGCCAAAGCCAUGGCCGGGUAGCCAAGUCCGGAAGGGAUAAACGCUGAAGGCAUCUAAGCGUGAAGCCCCCCUCAAGAUGAGAUAUCCCAUUCGAAAGAAGUAAGACCCCUUGAAGACGACGAGGUAGAUAGGGCAGAGGUGGAAGUGCAGUAAUGCAUGGAGCUGACUGUUACUAAUCGGUCGAGGGCAUAACCAA
rnacentral:rRNA from 1 species